rnacentral:rRNA from 1 species
AACGAACGCUGGCGGCAUGCCUAACACAUGCAAGUCGAACGAGACCUUCGGGUCUAGUGGCGCACGGGUGCGUAACGCGUGGGAACCUGCCCUUAGGUUCGGAAUAACUCCCCGAAAGGGGUGCUAAUAUCGGAUAAUGUCUUCGGACCAAAGAUUUAUCGCCUUUGGAUGGGCCCGCGUUGGAUUAGCUAGUUGGUAGGGUAAAAGCCUACCAAGGCGACGAUCCAUAGCUGGUCUGAGAGGAUGAUCAGCCACACUGGGACUGAGACACGGCCCAGACUCCUACGGGAGGCAGCAGUGGGGAAUAUUGGACAAUGGGCGAAAGCCUGAUCCAGCAAUGCCGCGUGAGUGAUGAAGGCCUUAGGGUUGUAAAGCUCUUUUACCCGGGAUGAUAAUGACAGUACCGGGAGAAUAAGCUCCGGCUAACUCCGU